ensembl:lncRNA
UCCAGAUGGUGUCUCCCCAUAGAAGAAUGUAUUUGACUUUAAACUUUAUUAGAAUGUACACCUUUCAAGCAUUGGGAGAUCCUCCCCACUCUCUGUAAUGUUAACUACAUUUCAAAGAGUUCCUUCCCAGGCCAGGGAAAAACCCUGGGUCAUUUGAGUAAUCUCAAAAAUAUAUGUCUACCCACUACUUACAAGCUUAACAGUCAUAGUUACAGAAACAUCAGCGAACCGCUAGCUAGCUGAAGAAGAAGUACUGAAAUGUGUGACAUGCCCUUUGUUUGAACUAAGCCCUCAUUCUCCCUCAGUCAGCCACCAGGUAUCUUAUGUCAGUAUCAACACUUAUUUGUGGGCUACUAACAUUGCUUGAUUUAAAGUGUCAAUAGAACUACUGUCCUUACAUUGAAAAGUGAAGGACAAGGACCUCUGGAUGUUGAAAAGUAACACUUGUAAACUCUGUCUGUAAUGACAUGCAGAUUCUACUUCCUGACCUCGAUCUGAUGGGAAUAUGUGAAGUUUACAGUUUUGAACAAAGUCACAAGUCAGAUUUAAUAACCUUAACCCACGUGUCAGUGUCAGUGCCAGUUGACACACCCCAAGGCGUGAUGUUCAAAGUAUAUUUUCCUACAGCGCUCCGGUUUUAACAGAUGACCGAAGAGAAGCUGGGGAUCAGUUGCAGGCAUCUCAGGAAUUCAUAAAGAAAUCUGCUAAUUUUCUGUUUGUCAAACACGACAGCUCACAGAACGAGUUUAAGCAGUGAAAUUGAAAACAGUGUUUGAAUUGCUGAGCCACAAGUUCCACAUCCUCUUGGGGUAUAUUGAUGCUGCAGCGCAAAUUAUUACUCAAACAAGAUUCGUCCGAUAUCGCCAUAAAAACCUGCUCAGCCCAAAAAGAUGUCCGUUCAAAGAAGACAUGCCAUGAUGAUUUAUUUGUAUCUGUUACUCAACUUCGUUCUGUGUGAGGAAGGGAGAAUCAUAACUCCCGAAGGCGGGACAGAGGCCAGGGAAUACCAGUGUGUCGCCGAUGCCAACUCCGCACCAACAAGCUUCGUGUGGAGAUACCAGGGCCAGGCCUUGCCUGAUGGUGUGAGACCCGAGGGGGACAGACUGCACUUCCUCGAGUUGAACUCUGACCUUAACGGCGAGUAUAGCUGUGAGGUCACAAACCCAUAUGGGACGGCUGUGUACUCCAUAUAUCGCCACAUAGUUGACCCCGACGACACCCACAAUGAACUUUGACUGCUGCCCUGAUUUGUCAUUGUGGCUUUCUCUGGACCUGGCUGAAGAAGUCCAAAGUAUCAUGUCUGGCUCAAGUCUGGCUCUGGCUUGUAAUAUACUAGACUUCACAUGCAUAUACUUUCAUUCAUAUACUUGCUUUAUGCAUUAUUUAUUUAUCUUUGAUAUUCCAUCCAUUGCAAGCAGCUUCUUAGCCAAAUCCCAGUGCACUUGAGUGAUGUUAGAACAUACACACCUUCCUCUAUAAUGAGAGGUAUCCAUGAGUGCAUGCACAACUCAAAAUAGAUUGGCUACAGUAAAUAGUGAAAAAUGAAAAAUAUAAGCAGCCUCAUGUAAUGCACAGUAUGGUGUAUGAAUAAUGACAAUGUUAUAUAAUCCUAUAUAUUUGUAAGUUACUUGAAGUCAUUGCUCUUUGUCAUUUGCUCUUUGCCGUUUUGUGCUAUUGCAUUUCAAUAAAUAAAGGAUUUAUUUAAGUGGUCAGUCUGGUGCUUUUGCAAGUGUUUGUGUGUGUGUGUGUGUGUGCACUUGCAUGAGUGUUUGCAUGUUUAGUCACGCAGAAUUGUACUGUUGUAUACUCAGGCCCUUUGAUCUUUUCACCCUAGAACAAGCCCCGUUCCAACCAUGUUAGUUUUGCUUGCCUGCUAUGUGCAACAUGUGAGGCUUGUUUGACCACAUGGUUUGAGGAAGGCUCUUGUGAAAACCUCAGCAGGACACAUCUCCAGUCCAAAACACAUCUGUCAGCACGUAAGAUUUACGUCAGAGGUGGUUAAGUGUACUUUCCGUGGUGCUUCGCCUUGACUACAGCACGUGUCUACACUAAGCAGUCACGGGUGUGCAUGUCUAUAGAUGUCAUCCAUCAGUGUGAUUCUACACACAUACCUUACCUAUUCAUUGUACUUAAGAGCGGAUACAAAAAAGCAAGAGUUUCAGAUUGUUGCACUGGUACAUGGCCUUCCAGGACCAGCUUUUCUGCUUGCAUGGUCUGGACAAGACCACAAGAUGGCAAUCAUAACAGGCCCCUCUGGGUGUCCAGUUAACAUUUUAGUGUGUAAUAAAACAAGAGGCGGAGAUGCAGUUACAUUAGUGACAUCACCACGACUCAUGACAAUAAAACAAUACAUUUUACGUCAGAUAGAUAGACAGACAGACAGACAGAUAGAUAGAUAGAUAGAUAGAUAAAUGCAGAGAUAGUAAGUGAGAAUGCUUGGUCGGACUCAACGCACAUGUCAUGAGUCAUGUAUCGAAGAGAGGAAGCAGUGACCAGACGGCGC